UACGGAGGGGGCUAGCGUUAAUCGGAAUUACUGGGCGUAAAGCGUGCGCAGGCGGUCUGUUAAGACCGAUGUGAAAUCCCCGGGCUUAACCUGGGAACUGCAUUGGUGACUGGCAGGCUUUGAGUGUGGCAGAGGGAGGUAGAAUUCCACGUGUAGCAGUGAAAUGCGUAGAGAUGUGGAGGAAUACCGAUGGCGAAGGCAGCCUCCUGGGCCAACACUGACGCUCAUGCACGAAAGCGUGGGGAGCAAACAGG
rnacentral:rRNA from 1 species